CGAGGGGCAGCGGGGAGGCAGCGAUGCCUCCGCCGGCGACCGGCGCUUGGGUGAGUAACACGUAUGAAACCUGCCCGGAGCAGGGGGAUAAGCGGAAGAAAUUCCGUCUAAUACCGCGUAAUGAGGCGGGGAGGCAUCUCCCCGCUUCCAAAGAUUUAUCGGCUCCGGAUGGUCAUGCGGCGCAUUAGCUGGUUGGCGGGGUAACGGCCCACCAAGGCGACGAUGCGUAGGGGUUCUGAGAGGAAGGCCCCCCACACUGGUACUGAGACACGGACCAGACUCCUACGGGAGGCAGCAGUGAGGAAUAUUGGUCAAUGGCCGGGAGGCUGAACCAGCCAAGUCGCGUGAGGGAUGACGGCCCUACGGGUUGUAAACCUCUUUUGCCGGGGAGCAAGAACCGCCUCGCGCAGGCGGACUGAGAGUACCCGGAGAAAAAGCAUCGGCUAACUCCGUGCCAGCAGCCGCGGUAAUACGGAGGAUGCGAGCGUUAUCCGGAUUCAUUGGGUUUAAAGGGUGCGCAGGCGGGCGGUCAAGUCAGCGGUAAAAUCGUGGGGCCCAACCCCAUCCCGCCGUUGAAACUGGCCGUCUUGAGUGGGCGAGAAGUAUGCGGAAUGCGUGGUGUAGCGGUGAAAUGCAUAGAUAUCACGCAGAACUCCGAUUGCGAAGGCAGCAUACCGGCGCCCGACUGACGCUCAUGCACGAAAGCGUGGGUAUCGAACAGGAUUAGAUACCCUGGUAGUCCACGCAGUAAACGAUGAAUACUAAUUGUCCGGGGCGAAUGAGCCCUGGGUGAUACAGCGA
rnacentral:rRNA from 1 species